rnacentral:misc_RNA from 1 species
GGUUUGAUCAUGGCUCAGAUUGAACGCUGGCGGGAUGCUUUACACAUGCAAGUCGAACGGCAGCACGGACUUCGGUCUGGUGGCGAGUGGCGAACGGGUGAGUAAUGUAUCGGAACGUGCCUAGUAGCGGGGGAUAACUACGCAGCGUAGCCUAAUACCGCAUACGCCCUUCGGGGAAAGCGGGGGGACCUUCGGGCCUCGCACUAUUAGAGGCAGUCGAUAUCCGGAUUAGCUAGUUGGUGGGGUAACGGCUCACCAAGGCGACGAUCCGUAGCUGGUUUGAGAGGACGACCAGCCACACUGGGACUGAGACACGGCCCAGACUCCUACGGGAGGCAGCAGUGGGGGAAUUUUGGACAAUGGGGAAACCCUGGUCCCAGCCAUCCCGCGUGUGCGAUGAAGGCCUUCGGGUUGUAAAGCACUUUUGGCAGGAAAGAAACGGCACGGGAUAAUACCCCGUGCAACUGACGACAACACCUGCAGAAUAAGCACCGGCUAACUACGUGCCAGCAGCCGCGGUAAUACGUAGGGUGCAAGCGUUAAUCGGAAUUACUGGGCGUAAAGCGUGCGCAGGCGGUUCGGAAAGAAAGAUGUGAAAUCCCAGAGCUUAACUUUGGAACUGCAUUUUUAACUACCGAGCUAGAGUGUGUCAGAGGGAGGUGGAAUUCCGCGUGUAGCAGUGAAAUGCGUAGAUGCGGAGGAACACCGAUGGCGAAGGCGGCCUCACCGGAUAACACUUUGACGCUCAUGCACAGCGGCAGGGAGCAAACGGGAUUAAGAUACCCUGGUAGUCCACGCCUAAACGAUGCCAACUAACUGUUGGGGCCUUCGGGCCUUGGUAACAGCUAACGCGUGAAGUUGACCGCCUGGGGAGUACGGUCGCAAGAUUAAAACUCAAAGGAAUUGACGGGGACCCGCACAAGCGGUGGAUGAUGUGGAUUAAUUCGAUGCAACGCGAAAAACCUUACCUACCCUUGACAUGUCUGGAAUCCCGAAGAGAUUUGGGAGUGCUCGCAAGAGAACCGGAACACAGGUGCUGCAUGGCUGUCGUC